UACGUAGGGGGCAAGCGUUGUCCGGAAUUAUUGGGCGUAAAGCGCGCGCAGGCGGCGACUUAAGUCUGGUGUUUAAGCCCGGGGCUCAACCCCGGUACGCACUGGAAACUGGGUGGCUGGAGUGCAGGAGAGGGGAGUGGAAUUCCACGUGUAGCGGUGAAAUGCGUAGAUAUGUGGAGGAACACCAGUGGCGAAGGCGACUCUCUGGCCUGUAACUGACGCUGAGGCGCGAAAGCGUGGGGAGCAAACAGG
rnacentral:rRNA from 1 species